rnacentral:rRNA from 1 species
AUUGAACGCUGGCGGCAGGCCUAACACAUGCAAGUCGAGCGGAUGAAGGGAGCUUGCUCCUGGAUUCAGCGGCGGACGGGUGAGUAAUGCCUAGGAAUCUGCCUGGUAGUGGGGGAUAACGUCCGGAAACGGGCGCUAAUACCGCAUACGUCCUGAGGGAGAAAGUGGGGGAUCUUCGGACCGCACGCUAUCAGAUGAGCCUAGGUCGGAUUAGCUAGUUGGUGGGGUAAAGGCCUACCAAGGCGACGAUCCGUAACUGGUCUGAGAGGAUGAUCAGUCACACUGGAACUGGGACACGGUCCAGACUCCUACGGGAGGCAGCAGUGGGGAAUGUUGGACAGUGGGCGAAAGCCUGAUCCAGCCAUGCCGCGUGUGUGAAGAAGGUCUUCGGAUUGUAAAGCACUUUAAGUUGGGAGGAAGGGCAGUAAGUUAAUACCUUGCUGUUUUGACGUUACCAACAGAAGAAGCACCGGCUAACUUCGUG